GGGUGCUAGCUUUGGCAGCCCUCUACUAAAACUGGAGUGAUACAGAGAAGAUUAGCAUGGUCCCUGUGCAAGGAAGACAUGCAAAUUCGUGAAACAUUCCAUAUUAAA